rnacentral:lncRNA from 1 species
AUGCUCAAAAUUCUCCAAGCCAGGCUUCAGCAAUAUGUGAACAGUGAACUCCCUGACGUUCAAGCUGGUUUUAGAAAAGGCAGAGGAACCAGAGAUCAAAUUGCCAACAUCUGCUGGAUCAUGGAAAAAGCAAGAGAGUUCCAGAAAAACAUCUAUUUCUGCUUUAUUGACUAUGCCAAAACCGUUGACUGUGUGGAUCACAAUAAACUGUGGAAAAUUCUGAAAGAGAUGAGAAUACCAGACCACCUGACCUGCCUCUUGAGAAAUCUGUAUGCAGGUCAGGAAGCAACAGUUAGAACUGGACAUGGAACAACAGACUGGUUCCAAAUCGGAAAAGGAGUACGUCAAGGCUGUAUAUUGUCACCCUGCUUAUUUAACUUCUAUGCAGAGUACAUCAUGAGAAACGCUGGACUGGAAGAAACACAAGCUGGAAUCAAGAUUGCCAGGAGAAAUAUCAAUAACCUCAGAUAUGCAGAUGACACCACCCUGAUGGCAGAAAGUGAAGAGGAGCUAAAAAGCCUCUUGAUGAAAGUGAAAGAGGAGAGCGAAAAAGUUGGCCUAAAGCUCAACAUUCAGAAAACGAAGAUCAUGGCAUCCGGUCCCAUCAUUUCAUGGGAAAUAGACGGCGGAACAGUGGAAACAGUGUCAGACUUUAUUUUUUUCGGCUCCAAAAUCACUGCAGAUGGUGACUGCAGCCAUGAAAUUAAAGGACGUUUACUCCUUGGAAGAAAAGUUAUGACCAACCUAGAUAGCAUAUUCAAAAGCAGAGACAUUACUUUGCCGACUAAGGUCUGUCUAGUCAAGGCUAUGGUUUUUCCUGUGGUCAUGUAUGGAUGUGAGAGUUGGACUGUGAAGAAGGCUGAGCGCCGAAGAAUUGAUGCUUUUGAACUGUGGUGUUGGAGAAGACUCUUGAGAGUCCCUUGGACUGCAAGGAGAUCCAACCAGUCCAUUCUGAAGGAGAUCAACCCUGGGAUUUCUUUGGAAGGAAUGAUGCUAAAGCUGAAACUCCAGUACUUUGGCCACCUGAUGCUGGGAGGGAUUGGGGGCAGGAGGAGAAGGAGACGACCGAGGAUGAGAUGGCUGGAUGGCAUCACUGACUCGAUGGAUGUGAGUCUGAGUGAACUCCGGGAGUUGGUCAUGGACAGGGAGGCCUGGCGUGCUGCGAUUCAUGGGGUCGCAAAGAGUCGGACAUGA